rnacentral:rRNA from 1 species
GACGUAGGGCGCGAGCGUUGUCCGGAUUUAUUGGGCGUAAAGAGCUCGUAGGCGGUUUUGUCGCGUCGUUCGUGAAAACUCACAGCUUAACUGUGAGCUUGCGGUCGAUACGGGCAGGCUAGAGUUCGGUAGGGGAGACUGGAAUUCCUGGUGUAGCGGUGAAAUGCGCAGAUAUCAGGAGGAACACCGGUGGCGAAGGCGGGUCUCUGGGCCGAUACUGACGCUGAGGAGCGAAAGCGUGGGGAGCGAACAGG